rnacentral:lncRNA from 1 species
UUUUUUUUUUUUUUUUGGUUGUCUUUUUGCCUUUUCUAGGGCCGCUCCCGUGGCAUAUGGAGGUUCCCAGGCUAGGGGUCUAAUCGGAGCUGUAGCCACCGGCCUACACCACAGCCACAGCAAUGCGGGGUCCGAGCCGUGUCUGCGACCUGCACCACAGCUCACGGCAAUGCCAGAUCUUUAACCCACUGAGCAAGGCCAAGGAUCGAACCUGCAACCUCAUGGUCCCUAGUCAGAUGGGAACGAUGAGAACUCCUUCAAAACAUUUCUAAUGAGAACACCCAACCUCAGAGAUUCUGAUUUAACUGGUCUAGAAUUUAGUUGGUUAAAAGUUCGUUAAGUAAGGUUAGUACAUAAGACAUAGGACACCAUGUAAACUUGGACAACUAAACACUAAAACAUUACUUUAUUGUUUAAUUGAAGUUCUAAUUUAACUGUGUAUCCUGUAUUUUGGUUUGUUAAAUAUGGCAACCCUAUGGGAGGAUCCUAAGAUCUAGCUCAGGUUGAGAAAUACCCUUGCAGGGUUUCCACUGAAAUACAAGAGCUGUCACUACAGUGACAUGGAGAAGCAGAGUGUCAUCUGUGCCCAUCAAACCUGCUUUUUUUUGUUAACACUUUCACAUUACAAAUAUUUCUUAAAUUUUCACAUUUAUAUUACAAGAGUUUACAUUUUUGUCUGUCUUGCCCAUUGUGUCUCUAUAAUAUUUUGCUCACAAAAAUAGUUCUUGUUAUGACUCAAAAAGAUUUGUAAACCUCUGAUCUAAUUCAGUGUCUCUUUCCAGAUUAAAAAAAUUUAAGACCCAGAGAGGAUGGUUCUUUGCUAAGCUCUUAGAGCUAAUUUAUAGAAAAACCAAACUGGUUCAUCAGACGCUAUUGCCAGGACCCUUUUCCUUUUUCUGAGCUAUGGGUCAGGAAUAAGAGGUCCUAUAAUCCUACAUCUAAGACUUCUGGACGAACUUUUGUCAAGUCUCUAAAGUUAUGCCAGACACUGUGCUAGGUAGGCACUUGGUGCAGGGAUUAAGAUGCAAUUUAAGUUCUCAAGGAACUGAUGCAGAAAGAGAAACAGAAAUAAUGUAGCUGUCUCUAGAAAAAUAAUACCACC